rnacentral:rRNA from 1 species
AACGAACGCUGGCGGCAUGCCUAACACAUGCACGUCGAACGCCUGUAGCAAUACAGGAGUGGCAGACGGGUGCAUAACACGUGGGAACCUACCCUUGGGUUCGGAAUAACCGCGGGAAACUGCGGCCAAUACCGGAUACGUCCUCUGGGAGAAAGAUUCAUCGCCCUUGGAGGGGCCCGCGUCGGAUUAGCUAGUUGGUGAGGUAACGGCUCACCAAGGCGACGAUCCGUAGCUGAUCUGAGAGGAUGAUCAGCCACACUGGAACUGAGACACGGUCCAGACUCCUACGGGAGGCAGCAGUGGGGAAUAUUGGACAAUGGGGGCAACCCUGAUCCAGCAAUGCCGCGUGGGUGAUGAAGGCCUUCGGGUUGUAAAGCCCUUUUGGCAGGGACGAUGGUGACGGUACCUGCAGAAUAAGCCCCGGCUAACUUCGUGCCAGCCGCCGCCGUAA